rnacentral:ncRNA from 2 species
UACGGUGUUGCCCGCCGUGGUGCUCGGGAAGACCGGUGACGGACCCUCAGGGGUCCCAGUCCGGAGCGGCCCUCGCCACUGUGAUCGGGGGGAAGUGUCCGUACCCAUCUCGCCACUGGGCGCCUCGCGCGCCUGGGAAGGCGGGUACGGGAGCCCCGUCAGCCAGGAGACCGGCCGCGGCAUCUCACGAAGU